UAGCCUUGACAUACUACAGAAUUUGACAGAGAUGUUGAAGUGCCUUCGGGAGCUGUAAUACAGGUGCUGCACGGCUGUCGUCAGCUCGUGUCGUGAGAUGUUGGGUUAAGUCCCGCAACGAGCGCAACCCUCGUCCUUAGUUACUAACGGUUCGGCCGAGGACUCUAAGGAGACUGCCUUCGUAAGGAGGAGGAAGGUGAGGACGACGUCAAGUCAUCAUGGCCCUUACGGCUAGGGCAACACACGUGCUACAAUGGUUAGGACAAUGAGAAGCGAUACCGUGAGGUGGAGCAAAUCUAUAAACCUAAUCUCAGUUCGGAUAGCAGUCUGCAACUCGACUGCUUGAAGCUGGAAUCACUAGUAAUCGUAAAUCAGCUAUGUUACGGCGAAUACGUUCCCGGGUCU
rnacentral:rRNA from 1 species